CCUUUCCUUCUUCUUGCUAGCUUCGAACACUAUCAUCUUCUCCUUCUCUCCAUUAUCAUCUUGCUGAAAUUAUCUAGAAAAUCACUUUAAGCCACCAUUUUCAUUCCUAGUUUGAGCUACCAAAAAGAUUUUGGCAACUUUAGUAGAGUCGCAGAUAGCAAAAAUCUCUAGAUCGAUGCAGUACUUGCUUAUUGGCAAGAACACAGAAAAAUGACCAUGAAUUUUGAGAGAAAGCCAAAGUUUGAAGACUGAAUCUUAAGGAAAACAAGAGCUAAGGUUGUCACAGCAUAAUUUGAGUUUUGGUGCAAUUCUUCAAGCAACUCUCUGUGCAACAAUGUGGAAUUCCUCGUGCAAAUUAAUAAACAACUGCAGAAAAGGUACCUCUCAAAAAAAUGACCUUCCUUGUGCUUUUUAGUUCUCAACGGUUGGAAUAGGUUCUCAUUUAUGCAAGAAUUUCUGUUUCCAAGGGAUGAUACUUGAAUUGGAUGAAAUUUUGUGAAAUUGAAGAAAUCUCAUUAUGAUGAAGUCAUUUUUAAUUUGAUAGGUUGGAAAACUCUAGGUCCUCUCAAGCUCUAGUAAUUUGCUAAAAUGCUAAAAACUUUGCUAUAUUGUAAAGUAGAAAGAUUAUACCUUUUAUGAUCAAGGUCCUUAUUAAAGGUUAAAGGCACAUACAGAAAUUUAGGCCUUAUUUGACUGAUACAAACAUGGCUAAAUGCACAUACGGUGCUCUGUUUAGGCAUUAUUCAACUGAUUUUAAAAAGGCUCUCACACACUUUAGACACUCCUCUUCACAGAGGAACUAUAUCCAGUCUGUUUAUCAUAAUAUCGAUUCCAAAGCAUAAUGCUAUCAUAUUUUGGUGACCCUUUGGCAAAUUUCAGAACCUAUGAUGUUAGUACUUGCUUUGGGACAUAACCAUUUCCGACAUCUGCCUUUGCCUUUGAAGCUGGAAGACCAAUGAAAAACUCCUUGCCUGUACUGAAGAUGUCUAUUGCUUCCAUGAGUUUUUGAAGUUGUCUGGAUUGUCGGAGUCGAACUCACAAGAUGGAUUGUCCCCUAUGAAACGAACUGUCCAGACUCCCUGAGAAAAUUCAUGUUUGAAUUAUGGAUGUGGAAAUUUUACCUAUAGCGAACUGUUUUUUUUGAGUUUGACACGUUAAUAACUGAAGCUUUUUUGUGUGGUUGACAACGAUUUAUUAUAAUUGUUAAUAACAUGUUCUUUUUUGCUAGACA